UACGAAGGGUGCAAACGUUGCUCGGAAUUAUUGGGCGUAAAGCGCACGUAGGCGGCUUUGCAAGUCCGAUGUGAAAUCUUAUGGCUUAACCAUAAAAGUGCAUCGGAAACUGCAGAGCUUGAGUACUUAAGAGGAUCGCGGAAUUCCCGGUGUAGAGGUGAAAUUCGUAGAUAUCGGGAGGAACACCAGUGGCGAAGGCGGCGAUCUGGGAAGAUACUGACGCUGAGGUGCGAAAGCGUGGGGAGCAAACAGG
rnacentral:rRNA from 1 species